rnacentral:rRNA from 1 species
AACGAACGCUGGCGGCAUGCCUAACACAUGCAAGUCGAACGAGACCUUCGGGUCUAGUGGCGCACGGGUGCGUAACGCGUGGGAACCUGCCCUUAGGUUCGGAAUAACUCCCCGAAAGGGGUGCUAAUACCGGAUAAUGUCUUCGGACCAAAGAUUUAUCGCCUUUGGAUGGGCCCGCGUUGGAUUAGCUAGUUGGUAGGGUAAAAGCCUACCAAGGCGACGAUCAUAGCUGGUCUGAGAGGAUGAUCAGCCACACUGGGACUGAGACACGGCCCAGACUCCUACGGGAAGCAGCAGUGGGGAAUAUUGGACAAUGGGCGAAAGCCUGAUCCAGCAAUGCCGCGUGAGUGAUGAAGGCCUUAGGGUUGUAAAGCUCUUUUACCCGGGAUGAUAAUGACAGUACCGGGAGAAUAAGCUCCGGCUAACUCCGUG